GGUGGUGUGGCCGAGCGGUCUAAGGCGGCAGACUUAAGAUCUGUUAUCGGGAGAUAUCGUGGGUUCGAAUCCCAUCGCCACCA
rfam:chromosome V of strain GB-M1 of Encephalitozoon cuniculi (Microspora)